AUGAAAGUGGCGCACGGGUGAGUAACGCGUAGAUAAUCUACCUGAUGAUCCGGGAUAACACUUCGAAAGGGAUGCUAAUACCUGAUAAGCUCACGGAGUCUUCGGAUUCUGCGGGAAAAGGAGGGGACCUUUAUGGCCUUCCGUCAUCAGGUGAGUCUGCGUACCAUUAGCUAGUUGGUAGGGUAAAGGCCUACCAAGGCGACGAUGGUUAGCUGGUCUGAGAGGAUGAUCAGCCACACUGGAACUGAGACACGGUCCAGACUCC
rnacentral:rRNA from 1 species